rnacentral:rRNA from 1 species
GAUGAACGCUGGCGGCGUGCCUAAUACAUGCAAGUCGAGCGAACAGAUGAGGAGCUUGCUCCUCUGACGUUAGCGGCGGACGGGUGAGUAACACGUGGAUAACCUACCUAUAAGACUGGGAUAACUUCGGGAAACCGGAGCUAAUACCGGAUAAUAUAUUGAACCGCAUGGUUCAAUAGUGAAAGACGGUUUUGCUGUCACUUAUAGAUGGAUCCGCGCCGCAUUAGCUAGUUGGUAAGGUAACGGCUUACCAAGGCAACGAUGCGUAGCCGACCUGAGAGGGUGAUCGGCCACACUGGAACUGAGACACGGUCCAGAGUCCUACGGGAGGCAGCAGUAGGGAAUCUUCCGCAAUGGGCGAAAGCCUGACGGAGCAACGCCGCGUGAGUGAUGAAGGUCUGCGGAUCGUAAAACUCUGUUAUUAGGGAAGAACAAAUGUGUAAGUAACUAUGCACGUCUUGACGGUACCUAAUCAGAAAGCCACGGCUAACUACGUG